rnacentral:rRNA from 1 species
CACGUAGGGGGCAAGCGUUGUCCGGAUUUAUUGGGCGUAAAGAGCUCGUAGGCGGCUCGGUAAGUCGGGUGUGAAACCUCCAGGCUCAACCUGGAGACGCCACUCGAUACUGCCGUGGCUAGAGUCCGGUAGAGGAGCGUAGAAUUCCUGGUGUAGCGGUGAAAUGCGCAGAUAUCAGGAGGAAUACCAGCGGCGAAGGCGGCGCUCUGGGCCGGAACUGACGCUGAGGAGCGAAAGCGUGGGGAGCGAACAGG